GCUCCUUGAAAUUUAAAGAAUUGGCGGUGUUUUAGUCUAGUUAGAGGAACCUGUUUUAUAAACGAUACAACACGCAUUAUUUUACUUAUUUUAGUAUUACAGCUUGUAUACCGUCAUUAUAAGAUAAUUUAAGAGAGAAUAUUAUUGGGAUCAUAUUAUUGAGUAUAUUAGAUCAAGGUGCAGCUUAUAGAUAAGUAAAUAUGGGUUACAAUAAAAGUUAUUUAAUAUGAAUUAAGUAUUAAAAUAUAUUUAUGAAGGAGGAUUUAAUUGUAAGGAGAGGAGUAGUGAGAUUUUCUGAUAAAAGCUCUAAAUUAUGUACAUAUCGCCCGUCGCUCGCGGGAAAAAA
rnacentral:rRNA from 1 species